rnacentral:rRNA from 1 species
UACAGAGGGGGCAAGCGUUGUUCGGAAUUACUGGGCGUAAAGGGCGCGUAGGUGGCCUUCUAAGUUGAACGUGAAAUCCCUGGGCUCAACCCAGGAACUGCGUCCAAGACUGGGAGGCUUGGAUCCGGGAGAGGGAUGCGGAAUUCCAGGUGUAGCGGUGAAAUGCGUAGAUAUCUGGAGGAACACCGGUGGCGAAGGCGGCAUCCUGGACCGGGAUUGACACUGAGGCGCGAAAGCCAGGGGAGCAAACGGG